rnacentral:lncRNA from 1 species
UAAGUUAUCUUUUACCCCAAAAAAAUAUCUCAAGGAGAGAUUAUUGCAAUCGAAUGAGAUUAGUACAAGCCUCGAGUAUGUGUUAUAUUCUAACUAAUACGCUCUGCAUCUUUAUAGACGAUGCAAUCUAACUCUAAAAGUCCUUUGUCAUUUAGCACCCGUUUGGUUUUAAAGACUAUCUAAUACUUUUAGACAAAACAUAGUUAUCUAUACCUCUAUACCUAUACAUUAUUUCUCCUAAAGUUUUGCCAUGUGACGAAUCCUCCUGCACCGUUGGCUUCUCUCUUCUCACUCCCAUCUCCAUCCAAUGCUUCAUCUUUCUAACCCCCACCUCUCAAUUAAUGUAUUUAUAUAGUCCCAUCUUCACCCAAUGCUUCAUCUUCCUAACCCCCACCUUUCAAUUAAUGUAUUUAUAUGAUCUCAUUUCCACCCAAUGCUUCAUCUUCCUAACCCCCACCUCUCAAUUAAUGUGUUUUCAUGGUUUUAUCUCCAUCCAAUACUUCAUCUUCCUGACUUCCACCUUUCUAUUGCUUUUACAAGAACAAAUGAGUAAAAUAAAGUUUCUUCAUACUUUUCUUUUCAUAUUGUUUUUUUUUUUUUCCUUUUUUUCUUGGCGCACAAAAAGGGCUCAUGUUUCGUAACUUUUUUAAAUUUUUUUUAAAAUUGUGUGUGGAUUGAAAUUAGGGUUUCGAGGAUCGCGAUGGGCACGGCAAGGGAAAACGAUGAUAAAUUUAGAGUCAGUAAGGAGGAAGAAGCAGUGGAUGUGGAAAAAAUAUACGGGAUUGACAUGGUUAUGGCUAAGGAGGAGAUCGACACUAGUGGCGAAGGCAAUGUAAAUAUUGGAAUUUGCCUUUUCGAUGUCGAUAGUACGAUGAAGGUGUGUAUGGGUAAAAUUUUUUUUAUUGCUUCUUUCAUUAUUGUUAUGUGUGAUUUAUUUAUCGAAAUUAUAAAUUUUGCUAUAUCUAUACCUAUAUCUAUUUUAUAUAUUAUAUUUAUGUUAUUGAAGUCUCAUGUCAAAUCAAAAAAUUUAUAGUUUUUAUUCUAUUUAUAUUUUAUCUUUUAUAGUAUCAUUCCGCCGCAAUGCGCGGGUGAUUUCACUAGUAAUGAAUGACUACAAUAUGAUUUCUCAAUAUUUUGCUGAUGUGGCACAACCACAUUGCUUUAGGAGUCUUUUUUUUCUCACUUAGGCAGGCCCUCCUACCCUUUCUCUCUCGAAUAUUCUUCUUCCCCCUGUCUUUCUCCCUCUCUCUCAAGCCUUAACUUCCACCUCUCCACCUUCCCCUCCUAAUCCCUCUCUCUCUCUUUCGAAUCUUCUUCCAUGUCCCCUGUCUUCCCCCCUCUCUUUCUCAAGCCUUAACUUCCACCUCUCCACCUUCCCCUCCUAAUCCCUCUCUCUCUCUUUCGAAUCUUCUUCCAUGUCCCCUGUCUUCCCCCCUCUCUUUCUCAAGCCUUAACUUCCACCCCUCCACCUACCCUUUACAACAAAGGUAUUAAUUGCACAAACUCACAAUAAAGGUAAAUUUAUAUAGCACUAUUCUACCAAUCCUUAAAAAUGUAUAUUUGUAACCAAUACAUGUUCCACAUUAAAACAAGCAAAAUUUAAAAUAUCACAGUACUGUUCUAUUAUACCUUAAUAAUGUAUAUUUGUAAUGAAUACAUAUUUUCUAUCCUAAACCGAACAAAAUUUAAUAAA